GAAUCAACGCUGGCGGCGUGCCUAACACAUGCAAGUCGAACGCGAAAGGGGCUUCGGCCCUGAGUAGAGUGGCGAACGGGUGAGUAACACGUGGGUGAUCUACCUUCGAGUGGGGGAUAACGUUCCGAAAGGAGCGCUAAUACCGCAUGACGUUCCGGGUUUGAAGACCUGGAAACCAAAGCCGGGGACCGCAAGGCCUGGCGCUUGGAGAGGAGCCCGCGUCCGAUUAGCUAGUUGGCGGGGUAACGGCCCACCAAGGCGACGAUCGGUAGCCGGCCUGAGAGGGCGGACGGCCACACUGGAACUGAGACACGGUCCAGACUCCUACGGGAGGCAGCAGUGGGGAAUUGUUCACAAUGGGCGCAAGCCUGAUGACGCAACGCCGCGUGGGGGAUGAAGGUCUUCGGAUUGUAAACCCCUGUCGAACGGGACGAAAGACUCGCGAGCUAAUCAUCGCGAGAGUGACGGUACCGUUAAAGGAAGCCACGGCUAACUCUGUGCCAGCAGCCGCGGUAAUACAGAGGUGGCAAGCGUUGUUCGGAAUUACUGGGCGUAAAGGGCGAGUAGGUGGCCAACUAAGUCAGACGUGAAAUCCCCCGGCUUAACCUGGGAACUGCGUCUGAUACUGGAUGGCUUGAGUAUGG
rnacentral:rRNA from 1 species